rnacentral:rRNA from 1 species
UACGAGGGGGGCAAGCGUUGUUCGGAAUUAUUGGGCGUAAAGGGCGCGUAGGCGGUGCGGUAAGUCACCUGUGAAAACUCUGGGCUCAACUCAGAGCCUGCAGGCGAAACUGCCGUGCUUGAGUGUGGGAGAGGUGCGUGGAAUUCCUGGUGUAGCGGUGAAAUGCGUAGAUAUCAGGAGGAACACCGGUGGUGUAGACGGCUCUCUGGACCGUAACUGACGCUGAGACACGAAAGCGUGGGUAGCAAACAGG